rnacentral:rRNA from 1 species
UACGAAGGGGGCUAGCGUUGCUCGGAAUCACUGGGCGUAAAGGGUGCGUAGGCGGGUCUUUUAAGUCAGGGGUGAAAUCCUGGAGCUCAACUCCAGAACUGCCUUUGAUACUGAAGAUCUUGAGUUCGGGAGAGGUGAGUGGAACUGCGAGUGUAGAGGUGAAAUUCGUAGAUAUUCGCAAGAACACCAGUGGCGAAGGCGG